rnacentral:tRNA from 1 species
GGGGAUUUGGCUCAGUGGUAGAGCGCUUGCCUAGGAAGCGCAAGGCCCUGGGUUCUGUCCCCAGCCCCG